rnacentral:rRNA from 1 species
GACGAACGCUGGCGGCGUGCUUAACACAUGCAAGUCGAACGCAGUGGCGAACGGGUGAGUAACGCGUAAUCAACCUGCCCUUCAGAGGGGCACAACAGUUGGAACCGACUGCUAAUACCGCAUACUGAAGGAGGGGAUUGCGUCUGAUUAGCUAGUGGGAGGGGUAACGGCCCACCAAGGAGAUGAUCAGUAGCGGGUCUGAGAGGAUGAACGGCCACAGUGGGAGUGAGACACGGCCCAGACUAAUACGGGAGGCAGCAGGGGGGAAUCUUCCGCAAGGGACGAAAGUAUGACGGAGCAACGCCGCGUGAGUGAGGACGGCCUUCGGGGUGUAAAGCUCUGUUAAUCGGGACGCGGUACCGGAAUAGAAAGCCACGGCUAACUACGUGCCAGCAGCCGCGGUAAUUC